AUGCUCACUUCGGCAGCACAUAUACUAAAAAAUUGGAACGAUACAGAGAAGAUUAGCAUGGCCCCUGUGCAAGGAUGACAUGCAAAUUCGUGAAGCGUUCCAUAUAAAA
rnacentral:snRNA from 1 species